AGAGACAGCAGCCGCCGCGGUAACACGAAGGGGGCAAGCGUUGUUCGGAAUUACUGGGCGUAAAGGGCGCGUAGGCGGUGUACUAAGUUAGGCGUGAAAGCCCUGGGCUCAACCCGGGAAUUGCGCUUGAUACUGGUACGCUAGAAUCCAGGAGAGGUUGGUGGAAUUCCCAGUGUAGAGGUGAAAUUCGUAGAGAUUGGGAAGAACACCGGUGGCGAAGGCGGCCAACUGGACUGGUAUUGACGCUGAGGCGCGAAAGCGUGGGGAGCAAACAGGAUUAGAUACCCGGGUAGUCCCUGUCUCUUAUAC
rnacentral:rRNA from 1 species